AGCACGUUAAGGUGGGCACUCUAAGGAGACUGCCGGUGACAAACCGGAGGAAGGUGGGGAUGACGUCAAGUCAUCAUGGCCCUUACGGCCUGGGCUACACACGUGCUACAAUGGUCGGUACUGAGGGUUGCCAAGCCGCGAGGUGGAGCUAAUCCCAUAAAACCGAUCGUAGUCCGGAUCGCAGUCUGCAACUCGACUGCGUGAAGUCGGAAUCGCUAGUAAUCGUGAAUCAGAAUGUCACGGUGAAUACGUUCCCGGGCCUUGUACACACCGCCCGUCACACCAUGGGAGUGGGUUGCUCCAGAGGCAGCUAGUCUAACCUUCGGGGGGGCGGUUACCACGGAGUGAUUCAUGACUGGGGUGAAAUCGUAACAAGGUAACCGUA
rnacentral:rRNA from 1 species